UAAGAUGAGAUAUCCCACUGGGUUAACCAGGUAAGACCCCUCAAAGACUAUGAGGUUGAUAGGCCUGAAGUGGAAGCGCCGUGAGGUGUGCAGCUUGUGGGUACUAAUCGGUCGAGGGCUUGACCAU
rnacentral:rRNA from 1 species